rnacentral:lncRNA from 1 species
CUCCAGCCUGGGCGACAGAGCAAGACUCCAUCUCAAAAAAAACCAACAACAACAACAACAACAACAACAACAAAAAGACCACUAGCUAGACUAAUAAAGAAGAAAAGAGAGAAGAUCCAAAUAAACACAAUUAGAAAUGAUAAAGGAAAUGUUACUACUGACCUCACAGAUAAAAAAACAACCACCAGAGACUACUAUGACCACAUCUACACAUACAGACUAGAAAACCUAAAACAGAUGAAUAAAUUCCUGGACACAUACACCCUCCCAAGACUGAGCAAGGAAGAAAUUGAUUCCCUGAACAGACCAAUAAUGAGCUCCGAAAUUCAAUCAGUAAUAAAUAGCCUACCAACCAAAAAAGGCCAGGACCUGAAGGACUCACAGCUGAAUUCUAUUAGAUGUGCAAAGAAGAGCUGGUACCAUUCCUACAGAAACUAUUCUAAAAAAUUGAGCAGAAAGGACUCCUUCCCAACUCAUUCUAUGAGGCUAGCAUCAUCUUAAUGGUAAACUUUCAAUGACUCUCCACCACCAAGAGGAUGAAUUUCUAUCUCCUUAGAAUGGCAUAUAAAGCCAUUUGUGAUUUGGCCCUGGCUUCCCUCUCCACUCCAGCAGCUGUACUUAAGUACUUGUAGGUCCCUUAGGGAGCCAUAAUUUGUGGCAUUUUUACAUGUUACUUCCUUGGCAUAUAUAUUUUAUUUUAUUUUUGUCAGGCCCACACCACUUAGAUGUUGCUGACUCUAGUAAAGCUUCCCUUACUCCCCAGGUGCUGGGCUAAGUACCCCUAUUCUGGGAACCCUUCUGCUUACCAUAUCACAGCACUUCCGUGACUUCAUAAUCGUCUGUUUACUUGCCAUUUCCUCUAUUAAAUUCUGAGCUCCCUGAUGGGAGUAUUCAUGGUUAGAGUCUCAGUCUCUAUUACGGGCCCUAGUACACUUCAGGAACUCAAAAGCUUUGCUGAUAUAAUGCAAGGUGAUAAAAAAGUAGAAAGACUUGGGAUAAUCUUGAUUUCUGAAGGCAUCAAACGGGAAUUAGAGAAAGCAGCAGGAAAAACGAAGGCCUUUUUAAGUUCCAUGAGAACUACGGUUUGCAAGACUGGUCAAAACAGUACAAUGCAAGCGGCAAGAAUCAGGAAGUGCACAGAAACAAGAAGCUCGGUGCACACUGGGAUCAGGCAAGCAUCUGGGAGAAGACUGUAGCAAGACUGGAUCCUGAGAGUGUUUCAAUUGAAUAUUGCAACUGAAGACAUUCACUCUGCGUUGAUCACCUAUGGAGUGAUCAAAUUUCAACCCUUUGAAGUUUCCUAAAUGAAAGAGGCACUCUGAAUUCAAAGGCUGUUUGAAUGAACUGACUGCUUCAGCACUGUCUUGUAGAUAUAGUCCAUUCAAAUAAAAGACAAAUAUCUGACUGAAUUUUGUUAGCACGUUAAGACAUGUAUUAUAAAAAGGUUUAAGAAGAAAAUAAUGGCCACAAUUCUUCAGAAAACAUGUGAACUAAUGUGACAAAACACUGUGGUGUUGCAAACUCAAGUGCUGCUCUGGCCAAGUCACCUCGCUGAAAUCUCCACUUCCACUUGUGCAACCUACCAAGCCACUCUCUACACAGCUGCCAGAGUGAUUACAAAAACAACGCGGGAUUAUGCUACCCCUGCUUAUCUAAAAUUUGUCAAAAUGCCCGUUACACUUUGAAUAAAAUACAGAUUCCUCUCAGAUCUCAUUUCUUAUCAUGUCUUUCUCAAUCAUUAUGUUCCAGCCUCACUGACCUUCUUUCUGUUCCUGUAAAAUAUUCCUGCCUCAAGGGCGCAGGCCUACGACCUGCAGUUCUCUUUUUCCCACAUGUGACCAGGCUCUCUCUUAGCCAUCAGGUCUCAAAUAAGCUCUUUCCGUUCUGUCUAGGCAUCUUAUCAAAAUCAACCUGUGUAUUAUUAUUCAUUUAUCACAUAAUCUUGUUUUAUUUUCCUCAUAGCACUCUCACUUUCUGAAAUUAUCUUUGUUUAUAUGUUUAAUGCCCUUCUUUUCCACUAGAAUGGAAACUCAAAGAUCAAGAAACUUAUCUGGCCUUUUCACUGUUGAAUUGCCAAAAUUUUGAACAGUGCCUAACAUACAGUAAAGGCUCAAUAAAUAAAUAAAUAAAUGUUCAGCUCUCUUGGCUGUCUCUGCAGUGAUCAAGAAUAUUUUGAUGUCUCUCAAAAGAACUAUAUGCUUAUAGUAGCCU